UGGUGGAGUGAUUUGUCUGCUUAAUUGCGUUAACGAACGAGACCUUAACCUACUAAAUAGUCAUGCCAUACUUCGGUAUGGUAGACGACUUCUUAGAGGGACUAUCGGCGUUUAGCCGAUGGAAGCUUGAGGCAAUAACA
rnacentral:rRNA from 1 species